UACGAAGGGGGCUAGCGUUGCUCGGAAUCACUGGGCGUAAAGCGCACGUAGGCGGCUUUUUAAGUCAGGGGUGAAAUCCUGGAGCUCAACUCCAGAACUGCCUUUGAUACUGAGAGGCUUGAGUCCGGGAGAGGUGAGUGGAACUGCGAGUGUAGAGGUGAAAUUCGUAGAUAUUCGCAAGAACACCAGUGGCGAAGGCGGCUCACUGGCCCGGUACUGACGCUGAGGUGCGAAAGCGUGGGGAGCAAACAGG
rnacentral:rRNA from 1 species